ensembl:miRNA
CUAACUUUUAGUUCCUGUAAACAUCCUACACUCAGCUAUAACAAGUGGUAGGGCUGGGGGGUGGAUGUUUACUUCAACUGACUUGGA